rnacentral:rRNA from 1 species
GAUGAACGCUGGCGGCAGGCCUAACACAUGCAAGUCGAGCGCGGUACUUGUACCGAGCGGCAGACGGGUGAGUAACACGUGGAAAUCUACCUAUUGGUGGGGAAUAACUUCGGGAAACUGAAGCUAAUACCGCAUACGCCCUGAGGGGGAAAGAUUUAUCGCCGAUGGAUGAGUCCGCGUCUGAUUAGCUAGUUGGUAGGGUAAAGGCCUACCAAGGCGACGAUCAGUAGCUGGUCUGAGAGGAUGAUCAGCCACAUUGGGACUGAGACACGGCCCAAACUCCUACGGGAGGCAGCAGUGGGGAAUAUUGGGCAAUGGGCGCAAGCCUGAUCCAGCCAUGCCGCGUGAGUGAUGAAGGCCUUAGGGUUGUAAAGCUCUUUCACCGGUGAAGAUAAUGACGGUAACCGGAGAAGAAGCCCCGGCUAACUUCGUGCCAGCCGCCGCCGUAA